UGGGGUAUAUAAAAUUAUCAACUUCUUGAAUCAAAUUCUAUGUUAACAAUUUAUAUAAUAAUUGCCCGAGUAAGAAAUGUUUUUCAACGUUGAAUUGAUAAAAUCUUAUCUAAAGCUAAUAAUUGUAAAAGAAAUCGAAUAAAUCAUUUAUAAAAAAAAUAUUAAGUAUACUUUGCAUUUAAAAAUGUAAGUUUUUUUUU
rnacentral:lncRNA from 1 species